GAUGAACGCUGGCGGCGUGCCUAACACAUGCAAGUCGAGCGAAGCGGGGACGGGUGAGUAAAACGUGGAUAACCUCCUAUAAGACUGGGAUAACUUCGGGAAACCGGAGCUAAACCCGCAACUUAUAGAAGGAUCCACGCUGCAUUAGCUAGUUGGUAAGGUAACGGCUGACCAAGGCAACGAUGCAUAGCCGAUCUGAGAGGGUGACCGGCCACACUGGAACUGAGACACGGGCCAGACUCCUACGGGAGGCAGCAGUGGGGAAUCUGCCGCAAUGGGCGAAAGCCUGACGGAGCAACGCCGCGUGUGUGAUGAAGGUCUUCGGGUCGUAAAACACUGUUAGUAGGGAAGCGGUACCUAAACAGAAAGCCCCGGCUAACUACGUGCCAGCAGCCGCGGUAAUAC
rnacentral:rRNA from 1 species